CUCGGUGUUGGACAAAAAGUGGUGCAGCUUCUUCAACCCCAUCACCCUGCAGUCGGUCACGUCUAUGUUCAUCGUGUUCAUCCGAAGUCUUCACUGCGGCAGAGGAAAAGCUCACCAUCAUCAAAAUUAGGGCAGCAACAACAAACUUCAUUAUCCUGCAAGCUUCAGGGAGAGUUGCAUGAGAGUAUGAAGACGGAAGGAUGAAGGACUGCAGCAUGGUUGCUACAACCGCUCGGGCUUCCGUUUAUCGUCCUCGACGGCGCUGCAAAUGUUUCCACCAAUGGAGAAGAGGAAGGAGGGCGCUGCCUUCACUCUGUGAGGUAUGUUUUAUUGCUGAGGACGGUUUGCCGCAUAUAUAAAUAUAUAUAUAUAUUUUUUAUUUUUUAUAUAGUGCUCUGUCAGGCUGAGGUUGCUAAACCGGCGAAGAACCUAGGAAGGCAUCAAAAGUCUGCUCUGCUUGACUCGGUCAGAGAAAGUGAAUGCGAGUGCAGGUUCGAAUGACAAGGCCGAGUUGCUUUCCCCGUCUUCAACCGCUGCAGCUUCAUUCUUGUUGCUACAGGUUUGUCUUUGUUGUGGCUUGGAGAGAGAGACGUCGCUGCAAAGGAGAGAGAGAGAAACACCACAUCUGGAUUCAGAUUUUGUGCAUCUGCAGGUCUUCCUUUCGUUUGUGGGUGACUGUGCAACUUUUAUGAGAGGAAGAAGAAGAGUCAACGGAAAAGAAGGUGUUUGCGGACGAGGUCGCGUGGCUGACUUGGAGGUCCACUUGCUUCGGGUGUGCGCACCAUGUGUUGCAGGUGGGGUUUUGCUGUGUAAUGCCUUUUGGUCACAGUUUUCCCUUGGUGGUGACGUUGGCGUAGUGCUCACCUUUGUAAUAUGGCUUUGUAACCAAAUCAUUUCUUUAAAGAAAUAAAAUAUUCAUAUCUUGAAUUGCUAUUUAUUCUUCAAAGUGUUUGUGUUUUUGUUGGUGAUGUGACUGUACUUGAAGUUUUGAAGUUUCAAGUUGCCUACGUACCCCCGGUUGAUGAGGGAUCAAGUCAUAACGUAGUUCAAAUGAACGAUGAUUUUUUUUUUAUAGUGAUUUUGAUGAUGAUUUUGCCGUACACAGUUUAUGCUCUUGUGGGCCAGGAGCCUUGUGCCGUGUGCAGUUUAGGCUCAUGCAGGCUAGGAGUCUGGUCGUCGCCUUUUAGGGGUAGUAACGCUUCAAGAAUCUGCCAUUGAUGGGACCGAUCUUCAAGCCGUCCUCUGCCAUGAUUAAGUAGGCGCCGCUUAUGUAGACCUCUUGUAUUACGUACGGUCCAUCCCACUUUGAUGUGAACUUGCUUUUUGUCUUGUGAGUUGUGAUGAUAGGCCUUCGUAAUGCAAGGACGAGAUCUCCAGUUUGGAAAGACCUUGGGCGGACCUUCUUGUUGAAUGUUUUGGAUAGCCGUGCUUGGUAGCAUUCCAGGUGUUGUUGAGCUUCGAGCCUUCUUUCGUCAAGUGAUUCCAACUCUUGAAGGCGCAACUUUGCAUUCUCUUCAUCAGUCAAACCUUCUUGUAUAGCCAUCCUAAGUGAGGGGAUUUGACUUUCUAGCGGUAAAACAGCUUCCACGCCAUAUACGAGAGAAUAAGGGGUAGCUUGGGUAAGAGUCCUAUGCGUCGUCCUAUAUGCCCAAAGUGCUUCGCUUAUUCUUUCAUGCCAGUCCCUCUUUGUUCGGCCGAUCACCUUCUUUAAGAGGUUGCACAAUGUUUUGUUGAAUGCUUCCGCGAGACCGUUGGCCGGAGCAUGAUACAUGGAAGACUUGUGCUGCUUGAACUUGUAUUUCUCACAGAGCUCGUCUACAAGUCGGUUGGAGAACUGUUUUCCAUUGUCCGUGAUAAUGUAGCGAGGCACACCAUAUCUGUGGAUGAUAUGUUCUUUGAUGAAACGGACAACAGUUUCCUUUUUUACUUCCCUUAGGGGUAUGGCUUUCAGCCACUUGGAAAAGUAAUCUGUUGCAGCUAGGAUGUAGGCUUCUCCUGCAGAUGACUUUGGAGUAAUUGGUCCCACGACGUCCAGUCCCCAUGCAUCGAAUGGCCACGAAGCAGUUGUAGGGUUGUAAUGGUUCAGGUGGUUGAUGUAUGAAGUUGGCGUGGAAUUGGCAAGCUUGGCACCUUUUGGCAUGUUCCAGGCAAUCCUUCACCAUACUUGGCCAGUAGUAACCCAUUCUUUUGAGCUGGAAAUGUAGCUUUGGUCCAGAUUGAUGCGCCCCGCACACGCUUGAGUGCGCUUCUUCCAUGGCUUGAUUGGCUUCUUCCUCACCUAGGCAUCUCAGAAGUACUCCUUCG
rnacentral:lncRNA from 1 species